UACGGAGGGGGCUAGCGUUGUUCGGAAUUACUGGGCGUAAAGCGCGCGUAGGCGGACCUGCAAGUCGGGGGUGAAAGCCCGAGGCUCAACCUCGGAACUGCCUUCGAUACUGCGGGUCUCGAGUCCGGGAGAGGUGAGUGGAAUUCCUAGUGUAGAGGUGAAAUUCGUAGAUAUUAGGAAGAACACCAGUGGCGAAGGCGGCUCUCUAGUACGGUACUGACGCUGAGACGCGAAAGCGUGGGGAGCGAACAGG
rnacentral:rRNA from 1 species